CCUGAAGCUUGCUGGGCAAGAAGACUAUUAUAGGAGCAUUGAGAUAGAUAUUGCGAUAAGUGCUACUCUUACUACUUGUGUGGGUGUACUAUGCGUCUUUUGUUUACUUUUUUGAGGAACUUAUUACUCAGUGAAUGUCUUGUUUUCUUGCUAAAUUCUUUAGGGACAGAUGUAAGCUCAAUCUUUUCCCCAUAAAUCAAGUCUCAAAAGCCUCCUAUUGAACUGUGUCUAAACUACCACAGGUACAUCUGCUCACUGCUUAUCUUCUGUCCAACUUAUCCAAUGACUCUUCACCAUAUUAUUGAAUGAUGUCUGUGGCGAAAGCCGCCUCGCCACUGGACAUUGGAGAGGCCUGGCUGCCCGCCUCCUACCUGCUGACUAUGGCCCCUGGUAAAUUUUACUUUUGAAUGCAAUAUUAGGGCAUGUGGUAUUUUAUAUUGCUGCUACUGGCCCUUUAAGGGCCAUCCGUGAACAUAUUAUGACUUUUUGGGAACAAUAUCCCUUUAGGAUAUCCCAAUAGACUUUGUAGCAGAUUACAGUAAGGAUGUCUUUUAUAUUAUGUAUGUUUCUGUGUGUUUGGCUAAAUUGUAUAUGUGUAUGCAGCAUUGCCCUGAUUGUUCGGUAGAAUCACUCCAUUCAUUAUAUUGAGUGAAUCUACCAAACAACCAGUCCACCCAAGAAUAAG